rnacentral:sRNA from 6 species
UGGCCGUCGGGUCGAAAUUGCGGGUGACGACGAGGUAGUUGCGCAGCGCGAUGGCGUGCAGGUUCUC